UCUCCUGUGGCGCAAUGGUAGCGCAGCGGACUUCGAAUCCGAAGGUUGCACGUUCAACCCGUGUCAGGAGAG